rnacentral:rRNA from 1 species
UACGGGGGGGGGCAAGCGUUGUUCGGAAUUACUGGGCGUAAAGGGCUCGUAGGUGGCCAACUAAGUCAGACGUGAAAUCCCUCGGCUUAACCGGGGAACUGCGUCUGAUACUGGAUGGCUGGAGAUUGGGAGAGGGAUGCGGAAUUCCAGGUGUAGCGGUGAAAUGCGUAGAUAUCGGGAGGAACACCUGUGGCGAAGGCGGCCCCCUGGUUGGAUACUGACGCUGAUACGCGAAAGCGUGGGGAGCAAACAGG